GAGAAAGCAAUGGAGACAAAGGGCCGCUAUUAACCUACAAAUGCAGGCUAUUGCAGGGUUCAUUGCAAGAUUUGUCACACUGCUUAGCCAAUGAUGUGCUAGUAUGGCUCGAAGAGACCACCCUUCUCUGGGCUAAGAGGGUAAUUUGGUCUCCAUGCUCAUUUAAUCCUGAACCUUCU
ensembl:misc_RNA